CAGCAGCCACGGGAAUACGGAGGGAGCUAGCGUUAUUCGGAAUUACUGGGCGUAAAGCGCACGUAGGCGGCUUUGUAAGUUAGAGGUGAAAGCCUGGUGCUCAACACCAGAACUGCCUUUGAUACUGCAUCGCUUGAAUCCAGGAGAGGUGAGUGGAAUUCCGAGUGUAGAGGUGAAAUUCGUAGAUAUUCGGAAGAACACCAGUGGCGAAGGCGGCUCACUGGACUGGUAUUGACGCUGAGGUGCGAAAGCGUGGGGAGCAAACAGGAUUAGAUACCCGCGUAGUCCCUGUCUCUUAUAC
rnacentral:rRNA from 1 species